CGGGUCUAGUGGCGCACGGGUGCGUAACGCGUGGGAAUCUGCCCUUUGCUUCGGAAUAACAGUUAGAAAUGACUGCUAAUACCGGAUGAUGUCGUAAGACCAAAGAUUUAUCGGCAAAGGAUGAGCCCGCGUAGGAUUAUGUAGUUGGUGGGGUAAAGGCCUACCAAGGCGACGAUCCUUAGCUGGUCUGAGAGGAUGAUCAGCCACACUGGGACUGAGACACGGCCCAGACUCCUACGGGAGGCAGCAGUGGGGAAUAUUGGACAAUGGGCGAAAGCCUGAUCCAGCAAUGCCGCGUGAGUGAUGAAGGCCUUAGGGUUGUAAAGCUCUUUUACCAGGGAUGAUAAUGACAGUACCUGGAGAAUAAGCUCCGGCUAACUCCGUGCCAGCAGCCGCGGUAAUACGGAGGGAGCUAGCGUUGUUCGGAAUUACUGGGCGUAAAGCGCACGUAGGCGGUCUAUCAAGUCAGGGGUGAAAGCCCGGAGCUCAACUCCGGAACUGCCCUUGAAACUAGUAGACUAGAAUCUUGGAGAGGCGGGUGGAAUUCCGAGUGUAGAGGUGAAAUUCGUAGAUAUUCGGAAGAACACCAGUGGCGAAGGCGGCCCGCUGGACAAGUAUUGACG
rnacentral:rRNA from 1 species